UGAGAAAGUGGGGGGGGGGUGAAGGGGGACGUGAGGAAAGGAGUAAUUAAUGGUGGAGGGCUGGCAUAACAUGCAGUCGACUCCAACCCCGAAGCCGCCUGUUUACACCUUUAAACAAUGACAUGAAUAUUUAAAAACAACGGUUAACCCUUUCCUUCUCGGCCACGUUUUAAUUUUUUCAAACGAGGGCGCCAAGCUGGCCGCAGAGCCGAGGGAGCACGUUUCAGCGGCGGCUACAUGAAUGAGCUGGAGAGGGGAGAACAGUGAGAUUACAGAACUGCACAAACUUCGCUUGGUCUUAGUUGCGGCAUGCAGACUUCUUAGCUGCAGCAAGCAGGCAGCAUCUAGUUCCCUGACCAGGGAUCGAACCCG